rnacentral:tRNA from 1 species
GGGGAUUUAGCUCAGUGGUAGAGUGCUUGCCUAGGAAGCGCAAGGUCCUGGGUUCAGUCCCCA